AAUGGACCAAAAGUCUGAUCCAGCAAUUCUGUGUGCACGAUGAAGGUCUUCGGAUUGUAAAGUGCUUUCAGGUGGGAAGAAGAAAGUGACGGUACCACCAGAAGAAGCGACGGCUAAAUACGUGCCAGCAGCCGCGGUAAUACGUAUGUCGCAAGCGUUAUCCGGAAUUAUUGGGCGUAAAGCGAGUCUAGGCGGCUUGUUAAGUCAGAUGUGAAAAUGCGGGGCUCAACUCCGUAUUGCGUUUGGAACUGGCAGGCUAGAGUACUGGAGAGGUGGGCGGAACUACAAGUGUAGAGGUGAAAUUCGUAGAUAUUUGUAGGAAUGCCGAUAGUGAAGACAGCUCACUGGACAGAUACUGACGCUAAAGCUCGAAAGCGUGGGGAGCGAACAGGAUU
rnacentral:rRNA from 1 species